UACGUAGGGGCCUAGCGUUGUCCGGAUUUAUUGGGCGUAAAGAGCUCGUAGGCGGUUUGGUGAGUCGGGUGUGAAAUCUCCACGCUCAACGUGGAGGGGCCACCCGAUACUGCCAUGACUAGAGUCCGGUAGGGGAGUGUGGAAUUCCCGGUGUAGCGGUGGAAUGCGCAGAUAUCGGGAGGAACACCAGUGGCGAAGGCGGCUUCCUGGACAUUUACUGACGCUGAGACGCGAAAGCGUGGGGAGCAAACAGG
rnacentral:rRNA from 1 species